rnacentral:misc_RNA from 1 species
GUGAGUCAUCGAAUCUUUGAACGCACCUUGCACUCUUUGGUAUUCCGAAGAGCAUGCCUGUUUGAGUGUCAUGAAAAUAUCAACCUUGACUUGGGUUUAGUGCUCUUGUCUUGGCUUGGAUUUGGCUGUUUGCCGCUCGAAAGAGUCGGCUCAGCUUAAAAGUAUUAGCUGGAUCUGUCUUUGAGACUUGGUUUGACUUGGCGUAAUAAGUUAUUUCGCUGAGGACAAUCUUCGGAUUGGCCGAGUUUCUGGGACGUUUGUCCGCUUUCUAAUACAAGUUCUAGCUUGCUAGACAUGACU